rnacentral:rRNA from 1 species
GAUUGAACGCUGGCGGCAGGCCCACCACAUGCAAGUCGAGCGGAUGAAGGGAGCUUGCUCCUGGAUUCAGCGGCGGACGGGUGAGUAAUGCCUAGGAAUCUGCCUGGUAGUGGGGGAUAACGUCCGGAAACGGGCGCUAAUACCGCAUACGUCCUGAGGGAGAAAGUGGGGGAUCUUCGGACCUCACGCUAUCAGAUGAGCCUAGGUCGGAUUAGCUAGUUGGUGGGGUAAAGGCCUACCAAGGCGACGAUCCGUAACUGGUCUGAGAGGAUGAUCAGUCACACUGGAACUGAGACACGGUCCAGACUCCUACGGGAGGCAGCAGUGGGGAAUAUUGGACAAUGGGCGAAAGCCUGAUCCAGCCAUGCCGCGUGUGUGAAGAAGGUCUUCGGAUUGUAAAGCACUUUAAGUUGGGAGGAAGGGCAGUAAGUUAAUACCUUGCUGUUUUGACGUUACCAACAGAAUAAGCACCGGCUAACUUCGUG